UACGGAGGGUGCGAGCGUUAUCCGGAUUCACUGGGUUUAAAGGGUGCGUAGGUGGGAAUGUAAGUCAGUGGUGAAAUCUCUGAGCUUAACUCAGAAACUGCCAUUGAUACUAUGUUUCUUGAAUUUUCUGGAGGUCAGCGGAAUAUGUCAUGUAGCGGUGAGAUGCUUAGAUAUGACAUAGAACACCAAUUGCGAAGGCAGCUGGCUACAGGGAUAUUGACACUGAGGCACGAAAGCGUGGGGAUCAAACAGG
rnacentral:rRNA from 1 species